UCGAGAAUUUUUCUCAAUGGGCGAAAGCCUGAAGGAGCGACGCCGCGUGGGGGAUGAAGGGCUUCGGCUCGUAAACCCCUGUCAUUUGCGAACAAACCUUACGAUUUAACAGAUCGUGAGCUGAUUGUAGCGAAAGAGGAAGGGACGGCUAACUCUGUGCCAGCAGCCGCGGUAAUACAGAGGUCCCAAGCGUUGUUCGGAUUCACUGGGCGUAAAGGGUGCGUAGGUGGCAGGGUAAGUUUGAUGUGAAAUCUCCGGGCUUAACCCGGAAACUGCAUUGAAUACUAUUCUGCUCGAGGGUUGGAGGGGGGACUGGAAUACUUGGUGUAGCAGUGAAAUGCGUAGAUAUCAAGUGGAACACCAGUGGCGAAGGCGAGUCCCUGGACAACUCCUGACACUGAGGCACGAAAGCUAGGGGAGCAAACAGGAUUAGAUACCCCGGUAGUCC
rnacentral:rRNA from 1 species